CACCCGUGGGCAGGGUCUGGCCAACGCCUACGCGGCGUUGGAGGCGGGCUGUACGAGUUUCGAGUCCAGCUUCGGUGAACUGGGUGGGUGUCC
rnacentral:tRNA from 1 species